CACGUAGGGCGCAAGCGUUGUCCGGAAUCAUUGGGCGUAAAGAGCGUGUAGGCGGCCAGAAAAGUCCGCUGUGAAAACUCGAGGCUCAACUUCGAGCUGUCGGUGGAAACUUUCUGGCUAGAGUCCGGAAGAGGAGAAUGGAAUUCCUGGUGUAGCGGUGAAAUGCGCAGAUAUCAGGAAGAACACCCGUGGCGAAGGCGGUUCUCUGGGACGGUACUGACGCUGAGACGCGAAAGCGUGGGGAGCGAACAGG
rnacentral:rRNA from 1 species